GGCGGAGAGGCAUCUUCCCUCAACAAAAACUGGACUGUACUGGCAGACUGACACUGCCACUGACGGGUCACACUUGGGUCCACUGACCCAUAGGGGACACUCUAACCCAGAGACUAUCAGACCCAACCUCUCGACGGCUCUCGGAGCAAUAAAUGAAUGAGAUGCACCCGGGUCCAUUAAAGCAUACACAUCAGAACACCCAAUGACGAGAUUACCUGACACCACGGUGUUGGAUGUGUUAGCCUCCUGCUGAGUCAUGGUGAAGAUCCUGGCUGGAGCUGAUGGACCUUCACCUCGGGAACCAGAAGAAGAGGCUGCCCC
rnacentral:lncRNA from 1 species